rnacentral:rRNA from 1 species
GACGUAGGGCGCGAGCGUUGUCCGGAUUUAUUGGGCGUAAAGAGCUCGUAGGCGGCUUGUCGCGUCUGUUGUGAAAGCCCCGGGGCUUAACCCCGGGUCUGCAGUGGAUACGGGCAGGCUAGAGGCAGGUAGGGGAGAUCGGAAUUCCUGGUGUAGCGGUGAAAUGCGCAGAUAUCAGGAGGAACACCGGUGGCGAAGGCGGAUCUCUGGGCCAUUACUGACGCUGAGGAGCGAAAGCGUGGGGAGCGAACAGG